rnacentral:lncRNA from 1 species
GGGAGAAGAACUGCUGAGUUCUUACUAACCAAGGGCAUGCCAAUGUCACUGCCAGAGUGCAAAGGACCUGGAGGAGGGAGCUACUGAUCUCUUAGAGGUCACUGAGCUACUCUCCGCUAAAGUUGCUCUCUGGGAAGAAGGAGAGAGGAGCUGUGUGCGUGCAGCCCCUGCUUCAUAGCCACCCGAACAACGGGGAAAGGCAGUAAAAAUGAAUGGGAAGGAGGUAGCUGAAGGCCGUCCUAGGGUUACAGCAGACCAGGUGACUCUGCUACUCUAGAACCACAUGACAGUGUGUCGUCUGCCAAG